UACGUAGGGACCGAGCGUUGUCCGGAUUCAUUGGGCGUAAAGAGCUCGUAGGCGGCCACUCAAGUCGAAUGUGAAACCUCGAGGCUUAACCUCGAGCCUGCAUUCGAUACUGGGCGGCUAGAGUCUGGUAGGGGGAUCCGGAAUUCCUGGUGUAGCGGUGGAAUGCGCAGAUAUCUGGAGGAACACCGGUGGCGAAGGCGGCAUCCUGGACCGGUAUUGACGCUGAGGCGCGAAAGCCAGGGGAGCAAACGGG
rnacentral:rRNA from 1 species